UAUCCCUGGCUAUCUCUUUGAUAAACAGCGGACAUACAUCCAAAUCUCUCUCUUUUGCCUCUUUUUCACCGGCCAAACCAGGCACGUCAUUAGGUUCUCUUCUACUCAUAUCGUUUGUCCGCUUUAUGGAAAGCAAAGAAUCAGUGCGACAACCAGUAUCCAGUUUUGCAGAUCUCAGCAGAUAGCUCUUCUCCCAAGUCAUUAGGUUCUCUUCUACUCAUAUCAUUUGUCCGCUUUGUUGAAAGCAAAGAAUCAGCGCGACGACCAGUAUCCAGUUUUGCAGAUCUCAGCAGAUAGCUCUUCUCCCAAAACUCAGACUCAUCAACUGCAAUUCCUUUGUUAGCACAAAAGAACAUCUGCAUAAUAAGCAUACAGACAUAAGAUUGUCAUAGAGAACUUCAAUGUCUAAACAUAGGUGUUGCAGAACUGUCCGCCAUUAGCCAUAACUAUGAAAAUCAACAUAAGAUUGUCUUAGAGAACUUCAAUGUCUAAACAUAGGUGUUGCAGAACUGUCCGCCAUUAGCCAUAACUAUGAAAAUCAAAAAUGAAAAGGAACUGAAAUUACCUAACUCGUACUCCAAAUUUGCUAGGAAAAUUCACCAGUUAACUA
rnacentral:lncRNA from 1 species